CCUACGGGAGGCAGCAGUGGGGGAUAUUGCACAAUGGGGGAAACCCUGAUGCAGCGACGCCGCGUGAGUGAAGAAGUAUUUCGGUAUGUAAAGCUCUAGCAGCAGGGAAGAAAAUGACAGUACCUGACAAAGAAGCCCAGGCUAACUACUGGCCUGCAGCCGUGGUAAUACGUCGGGGGCAAGCGUUAUCGGGAUUUACUGGGUGUAAAGGGGGCGUGGACGGUUAUGUAAGUCUGGAGUGAAAGCCCGGGGCCCAACCCCGGGACUGCUUUGGAAACUGUGUAACUGGAGUACAGGAGGGGCAGGCGGAAUUCCUGGUGUAGCGGUGAAAUGCGUAGAUAUCAGGAGGAACACCGGCGGCGAAGGCGGCCUGCUGGACUGAAACUGACGUUGAGGCUCGAAAGCGUGGGGAGCAAACAGGAUUAGAUACCCUAGUAGUC
rnacentral:rRNA from 1 species